AGAGUCAUCAAAGUCCAGUGUCAGGAAAAAACUCAAGGUGGUUGGCCAUGGCCUCGGGUGAAGUGGAGCUUCCUGGAGCCACAGUUAGAGGAGAGUGCUGAAGAAAAGCAAGAAAAAAAAUUCAUUGACACAUUUUAGAAAAUGCACAGGAGAGGACAGAAGAAAGACUGAUAGGUCAAGGAACUGCGGGACACACACAGGUUCCUAGAGAUCCUUUGGAGAAGGGGGCAGCACAGAGCACUAUUGGGCCAUCAAACUGCUUAGUUGGUCCCUGACUAGAUCACAUCCUGAAGUCUUUUUUAAAAGCCCUGGACAAUCUGUGUUUAUCACAACCUAGUCAAAUGAUUUGAUUUACAAGAUUAAGACCAACAAGGGUACAAGAAAUGUUAUGGAGGAAAGAUGAACAGAACUCAACACCUGGUUUAUUAUGAGAGACAAGGAUCAUGAAAAAUAAAAGCUGAUACCAAGAUUUUAAAUAUGGAAGACUGGGUGAAUGGAUAGUGCCUUGAACAGAAAUCAAAAAGUUGCUUCUGCUUUCCAUUCAAUGAUCUUUUACUAUGUUUACUAUGUGUUGGGCUAGGCCCUGAAAA